CAAAAGCGGGAAUGGCCUAAUUGCAACUUAUGCCCUCUUUGCAAGCAAGUUCAAGAGACGGCGGCGCAUCUACUUUUUCGAUGCAGAUACGCUGUUAGAGUUUGGGGCAUGAUAAAGGUCCGGCUUGGCCUUCAUGACGUGAACCUUCUGGAUUGGAGCCACAUGGACUCCGUUAAAGAUUGGUGGGGCCACAACGCGUACAGAAUGACGCAAUCCCGAAGGCCGCUCAUCUCCCUCAUGCUGCUCAUUUCAUGGGAGAUACAGAAGGAACAGAACACAAGGGUCUUCCACAAUGCUGCGAUGCCGGCCGAAGUUAUUGUCACAAAGAUAAAAGAGGAGUGUAGUCUGUGGUGUCUUGCUGGGACUAAGCACUUGCGUAAUUUAUUGCCGCGAGAGUGA
rnacentral:rRNA from 1 species